rnacentral:piRNA from 1 species
UAUCAUACAGAUAUUUCACUUCCUUAGGU